CCGAGUACAUGACUAGAUUUUACAGAGUGAUAGUAACGUUGAAAUUGUUAGAUUAUGGGUAAUUGUUGUUGUAAUACACAAGUUGCACCUGAACAUACAACUGUCCUACCUUCCAGUACCGAAGGAAAAUAUUCCAAGUCCUCAGUGAAGGUGGAUCAUAGAAGAGUCCAAAAGAUAAGAAGAGAGAGUGGAAUAGUGGGGUCAUCCGUGUCCUCAGCACUAUCACAUCAACCGCUGCAGGCAGGCACAGUAGCAAGAGAGAGUGGAAAAGUGAGGUCAUCCUUGUCCUCGGCACUAUCAUGUCAACCCCUGCAGGCAGGAACAGUGUUACCUAUCCGUGCAGACAGUGCAAGUUCAGACGAGGACCAGGAAAAAUCACCACUAAGGCUAGUUAAGGUAUCAUCUAAGAAAAGCAAACAUGGGUCCAACAUUUUAAGAACUAUGCAGCGGAAGGGGACCAUUUUCCUUAUUGAUCCUGAAGUGUGUCAAUUUAUAGAUGAAAUUCGCAAAGACAAAAUGAAAAAUGAAAUGGAAGUGGUACCUUUACGUAUAGACACUACAACUUUGCCACACAAUGAGGAAAAAGCACCGGUGAAGCCAGUAGAGGUGUCAUCUAAAAAACGCAGAUGUGUUUCUGCUAUCUUGAAGAAAAUUUCUCGAAAGAGAGCUGUCGUCCCCACAGACAUCGAAAGGCCUCAAGUCCUUCCUGGCACUUCAAGAGAAACGUCUCACAUUCUAACAGA
rnacentral:lncRNA from 1 species